rnacentral:rRNA from 1 species
GAUGAACGCUGGCUACAGGCUUAACACAUGCAAGUCGAGGGACCGGCGCACGGGUGAGUAACGCGUAUCCAACCUUCCCGUUACUGCGGGAUAACCUGCCGAAAGGCAGACUAAUACCGCAUGGUAACGGAGGGGGAUGCGUCUGAUUAGCUAGUUGGCGGGGCGACGGCCCACCAAGGCGACGAUCAGUAGGGGUUCUGAGAGGAAGGUACCCCACAUUGUAACUGAGGCACGGUCCAAACUGCUAGGGGAGGCAGGAGUGAGGAAUAUUGUGCAAUGGGCGGAAGCCUGAACCAGCCAAGUAGCGGGCAGGAGGACGGGCUACGGGUUGUAAACUGCUUUUGUGCGGGGAUAGGUACCGAAUGAAUAAGGACCGGCUAAUUCCGUGCCAGCAGCCGCGGUAAUUC